AUUGAACGCUGGCGGCAGGCCUAACACAUGCAAGUCGAGCGGAUGAAGGGAGCUUGCUCCUGGAUUCAGCGGCGGACGGGUGAGUAAUGCCUAGGAAUCUGCCUGGUAGUGGGGGAUAACGUCCGGAAACGGGCGCUAAUACCGCAUACGUCCUGAGGGAGAAAGUGGGGGAUCUUCGGACCUCACGCUAUCAGAUGAGCCUAGGUCGGAUUAGCUAGUUGGUGGGGUAAAGGCCUACCAAGGCGACGAUCCGUAACUGGUCUGAGAGGAUGAUCAGUCACACUGGAACUGAGACACGGUCCAGACUCCUACGGGAGGCAGCAGUGGGGAAUAUUGGACAGUGGGCGAAAGUCUGAUCCAGCCAUGCCGCGUGUGUGAAGAAGGUCUUCGGAUUGUAAAGCACUUUAAGUUGGGAGGAAGGGCAGUAAGUUAAUACCUUGCUGUUUUGACGUUACCAACAGAAUAAGCACCGGCUAACUUCGUG
rnacentral:rRNA from 1 species